CCGUAACCCUGGCGGCGUGCUAAUACAUGCAGUCGAGCGGCAGAUGGGAGCUUGUCCCUGAAGUCAGCGGCGGCGGGUGAGUAACACGUGGGCAACCUGCCUGUAAGACUGGGAUAACUCCGGGAAACCGGGGCUAAUACCGGAUAAUUCUUUCCCUCACAUGAGGGAAAGCUGAAAGAUGGUUUCGGCUAUCACUUACAGAUGGGCCCGCGGCGAAUUAGCUAGUUGGUGAGGUAACGGCUCACCAAGGCAACGAUGCGUAGCCGACCUGAGAGGGUGAUCGGCCACACUGGGACUGAGACACGGCCCAGACUCCUACGGGAGGCAGCAGUAGGGAAUCUUCCGCAAUGGACGAAAGUCUGACGGAGCAACGCCGCGUGAGUGAUGAAGGUUUUCGGAUCGUAAAACUCUGUUGUUAGGGAAGACAAGUACCGGAGUAACUGCCGGUACCUUGACGGUACCUAACCAGAAAGCCACGGCUAACUACGUGCCAGCAGCGGG
rnacentral:rRNA from 2 species